rnacentral:tRNA from 1 species
GGAGAGAUGGCCGAGUGGUCGAAGGCGCAGCACUGGAAAUGCUGUAUAGGGGCAACUCUAUCGAGGGUUCGAAUCCCUCUCUCUCCGCCA